rnacentral:rRNA from 1 species
UACGUAGGGUCCAAGCGUUGUCCGGAUUUACUGGGCGUAAAGAGCGUGUAGGCGGCCAAGCAGGUCCGUUGUGAAAACUGGAGGCUUAACCUCCAGACGUCGACGGAAACCGCGUGGCUAGAGUCCGGAAGAGGAGAGUGGGAAUUCCUGGUGUAGCGGUGAAAUGCGCAGAUAUCAGGAAGAACACCAAUGGCGAAGGCAGCUCUCUGGGACGGUACUGACGCUGAGACGCGAAAGCGUGGGGAGCGAACAGG